AGAAUCAACGCUGGCGGCGUGCCUAACACAUGCAAGUCGAACGAGAAAGUGGAGCAAUCCACGAGUAAAGUGGCGCACGGGUGAGUAACACGUGACUAACCUACCCUUGAGUGGGGGAUAACCUAGGGAAACCUGGGCUAAUACCGCAUAAUACCUACGGGUCAAAGGAGCAAUUCGCUUAAGCGAGGGGUCGCGGCCGAUUAGUUAGUUGGCGGGUAAUGGCCCACCAAGACGAUGAUCGGUAU
rnacentral:rRNA from 1 species